AAGAACGCAGCGAAAUGCGAUACGUAGUGUGAAUUGCAGAAUUCCGCGAAUCAUCGAGUCUUUGAACGCAAGUUGCGCCCGAGGCUCGUCCGAGGGCAUUUCCGCUAGAGCGUCACC
rnacentral:rRNA from 1 species